rnacentral:rRNA from 1 species
AUUGAACGCUGGCGGCAGGCUUAACACAUGCAAGUCGAGCGGAGAUGAGGUGCUUGCACCUUAUCUUAGCGGCGGACGGGUGAGUAAUGCUUAGGAAUCUGCCUAUUAGUGGGGGACAACAUUCCGAAAGGAAUGCUAAUACCGCAUACGUCCUACGGGAGAAAGCAGGGGAUCUUCGGACCCUGCGCUAAUAGAUGAGCCUAAGUCGGAUUAGCUAGUUGGUGGGGUAAAGGCCUACCAAGGCGACGAUCUGUAGCGGGUCUGAGAGGAUGGUCCGCCACACUGGGACUGAGACACGGCCCAGACUCCUACGGGAGGCAGCAGUGGGGAAUAUUGGACAAUGGGGGGAACCCUGAUCCAGCCAUGCCGCGUGUGUGAAGAAGGCCUUAUGGUUGUAAAGCACUUUAAGCGAGGAGGAGGCUACUAGUACUAAUACUACUGGAUAGUGGACGUUACUCGCAGAAUAAGCACCGGCUAACUCUGUGCCAGCCGCCGCAGUAAUAC